rnacentral:rRNA from 1 species
UACGUAGGGUGCAAGCGUUAAUCGGAAUUACUGGGCGUAAAGCGUGCGCAGGCGGUUAUGCAAGACAGAGGGGAAAUCCCCGGGCUCAACCUGGGAACUGCCUUUGUGACUGCAUAGCUAGAGUACGGUAGAGGGGGAUGGAAUUCCGCGUGUAGCAGUGAAAUGCGUAGAUAUGCGGAGGAACACCGAUGGCGAAGGCAAUCCCCUGGACCUGUACUGACGCUCAUGCACGAAAGCGUGGGGAUCAAACGGG